rnacentral:lncRNA from 1 species
CAACACAUAUUUGCAAAAAGGGUUCCCUUAGAGUACUAAGGAUGUUUUGGAUGCGUAAAACCUUCCCAUUUCAUAACCAACCCCCUUACCUAGAUCUAUGACAUUUUUAUUAGUUUUUGAUUUGAAAAACUUCUUACUUGGCUUUUGUUAGCUUUUUAGCCUUUCCUUUGGACAAAUAAAAGUGCGGUGGCGACUCGAAUUGUAUGUUUACUUUUGGUUUAGUCAAUAAACCUAAAGGUAAC